GAAGUAAGCUGGGCAAUCGCGAGCAGAUGUCGCAAGGCGCUGUUCGAGGAAAGUCCGGGCUCCAGAGGGCAGGGUGCCAGCUAACGGCUGGUCAACGCGAGUUGAAGGAUAGUGCCACAGAAACAUAAACCGCCGAUGGAAGUUAAAGGUUCUCUUUAACUUCACAGGUAAGGAUGGAAGCGUGAGGUAAGAGCUCACGAGGUCGACUGGUAACUUUCGAUCUGGUAAACCCCACCUGGUGCAAGACCUAAUGAGGAUUAGCUGAUACAAUCAGCAGCUUUUGCCCGAAGUAAUCCGUGGUUGGUCGCUUGAGCUCUAUAGUGAUGUAGAGCCUAGAUAGAUGAUUGCUACUCCAACGGUGGGAGGUUAUGCCGUUUUACCACUAGGAGGCACAGAACCCGGCUUAUAGGUUUACUUCCACU
rnacentral:RNase_P_RNA from 1 species